rnacentral:rRNA from 1 species
GUGUACCUACGGGACGCAGCAGUGGGGAAUAUUGCACAAUGGGGGAAACCCUGAUGCAGCGACGCCGCGUGGGCGAGGAAGUACCUCGGUACGUAAAGCUCUAUCAGCAGGGAAGAAUAAUGACGGUGCCUGACUAAGAAGCCCCGGCUAACUACGUGCCAGCAGCCGCGGUAAUACGUAGGGGGCAAGCGUUAUCCGGAUUUACUGGGUGUAAAGGGAGCGUAGACGGCUGUGCAAGUCUGAAGUGAAAUGCCGGGGCUCAACCCCGGAACUGCUUUGGAAACUGUACAGCUAGAGUGCAGGAG